CUAUUUCCUUAAAGAAAAGUUGAUGGUGUUGUGGAAAGAGAAGACAGUGAAAACCAAAACCAAUAUGAGUAAACUGGUAUUAUGUCAAAGUGGCAAGUAACUGCAAGUCCGGCCCACACACCCAAAAAAGUGAGAGGACACUCCAGGGUCUAAUUCCUACAGAUGCCAGAGUGAACCAGAGAGUGUUCCAUUUACUCUUGGAAGCAACAAGGAAAUGGGCUCUCAGAGACUAAAAAUAUUGGAAAUGAUGUUUGGCUACAAUGUAAAGAGACAACUUAAAGCUUUCUUGAAGUGAAGAACCACAAAAACAGAAAAACAAAUGGCAAUGCAUGGCAAAGAGAGCUGAGGAUCAAGAACUGUGUUCACAGGCAAGGCUGUGGAUAUGGAGAAUGCAUUAGUUUGUGUGUGCACAUAUAUGUAUGAUAUGCAAUAGUCAGGGUGGUGUGGCCAGUAUACUCUUGUGUUCUAAAAAAUGUUCAUAAUUAAACCGCAGCCUAAUUUAGUGUUCUAGAUUACGAUAAUUUAACUUUUUAGCACUGGGCAUAUAACAGGCCAUCAUGCAUGCUAGGCAAGCUCUGUACCUCUGGGAACACCCCCAGCCCCAAUUUGUCUUUAUGCACCUAAGAAGGUAACGCAACACAAUCAUGAGGUUAUUAGGUUCCUUCCCAUGCAAGAUUGUUUUGAAUGAAGUGAAUGCUGUGUAAAGUAUUAUCAGCCUAGUCCACAGGUAAAACUCAACUGCUGACAUGUAACUGCUUUUCACAGGUGGCCUCUGCAGUUUCCAUUUAGCGCACAAGUCUUCCACCUGGGAAAGUCCAGCUUGUCAGAGAUAUUUCCGGCUUGGUCUUAAAGUCACUAUAUGCUUUAGAGUGAUGUUUUCUAAAGCUGAACAUUAUUUGUAAAACUAUUUUUUCAUCUCUACUGAAACAAAAGUUAGGAACCACAAAUGUAAUCUUGAAAUCUUAGGAGGAAAUUACUGCCUGCAAAACACAUGUGAACACACACACACACACAUAUGCAU
rnacentral:lncRNA from 1 species